rnacentral:ncRNA from 1 species
UAAUCCGAGUUUUUGUAAGACCAAUCGGGAGGGGGCGCUAUACGCAUUCUCUAGACUAAUUCUAGAAUUCUAUAUCACUUACCUUUUUUGUUUGGUGAAAAAAUGAUAAAAAAACUAUUUGAGCUGUUAUUACAAAACAGACCCUAUAAAGUUAGUGUACAAUCAAAGUGUCUGCUUUUGUAUUGAGGGAAAAUAUUUUUUACCCUAUGUAUUAUGAAGCAUUCAAUAUUUCAAAUAACCAAAUGAAUGAUCAUGAAUAUGUACACAAUGAAGCCUCUUCCUAAUGAAAAAGAGACUUGAUUUGUGCCGAACAUUUAUUGUUAUCAUAUUAUUGUCAUCAUUCACCUGCCGUUCGGGUUGGUUUCCCGACCGUCGCACUUCUCGCAGGCGCGCGCCAACGUCGGUUAGGGCUGGGUCUCAAAGGCGGUGGAAAGGUAGGUUUGGACUCUCGGGCCCGAACUGUUACAGUCCUCCGUUCGUCAUGGCCCGGACCUGACCGAGGAGCUUGCGGUGCAUGCCCUUUCGGCUAGGGUCCCGUCUUCCCGGUCGGUCGUCGAAUGCGGUGGACUGCGUGCAGUGCGCCGCGACUGCUGCCGGUCGCGAGGGCGGUGAUUUCGUACUAUGCACCCACGACGUUGGCGGUCAUAUGGCCUCAUCCGACCCGUCUUGAAACACGGACCAAGGAGUCUAACAUGUGUGCGAGUCUUUGAGUGAUCGAAACUCCGAGGCGUAAUGAAAGUGAAGGCGACUUCGGUCGCUGAGGUGAGAGCCUUUUUCCACAAAAAAAAGGCGCAUCAUCGACCGACCUAUUCUACUCUUAGAAAGGUUUGAGUAAGAGCGCAUCUGUUGGGACCCGAAAGAUGGUGAACUAUGCCUGAAUAGGGUGAAGCCAGAGGAAACUCUGGUGGAGGCUCGUAGCGAUUCUGACGUGCAAAUCGAUCGUCAAAUUUGGGUAUAGGGGCGAAAGACUAAUCGAACUGUCUAGUAGCUGGUUCCCU